rnacentral:rRNA from 1 species
UGAUACGUAGGGUGCGAGCGUUGUCCGGAUUUAUUGGGCGUAAAGGGCUCGUAGGUGGUUGAUCGCGUCGGAAGUGUAAUCUUGGGGCUUAACCCUGAGCGUGCUUUCGAUACGGGUUGACUUGAGGAAGGUAGGGGAGAAUGGAAUUCCUGGUGGAGCGGUGGAAUGCGCAGAUAUCAGGAGGAACACCAGUGGCGAAGGCGGUUCUCUGGGCCUUUCCUGACGCUGAGGAGCGAAAGCGUGGGGAGCGAACAGGCUUAGAUACCCUGGUAGUCCACGCUGUAAACGGUGGGUACUAGGUGUGGGGUCCAUUCCACGGGUUCCGUGCCGUAGCUAACGCUUUAAGUACCCCGCCUGGGGAGUACGGCCGCAAGGCU